rnacentral:rRNA from 1 species
AGUCGAACGAAAGUUUUCCAACUUUAGUGGCGAACGGGUGCGUAAUACGUGAGAAUCUACCCUUAGGAGGAGAAUAACUGCUGGAAACGGCUGCUAAGUCUCCAUAUGCCGAGAGGUGAAAUAGUUUUACUGCCUAAGGAUGAGCUCACGCCUGAUUAGCUUGUUGGUAAGGUAAAGGCUUACCAAGGCCACGAUCAGUAGCUGGUUUGAGAGAACGAUCAGCCACACUGGGACUGAGACACGGCCCAGACUCCUCCGGGAGGCAGCAGUGAGGAAUUUUCCGCAAUGGGCGAAAGCCUGACGGAGCAAUACCGCGUGAGGGAUGAAGGAUUUUGGUCUGUAAACCUCUUUUCUCAAGAAAGAAGUUCUGACGGUACUUGAGGAAUAAGCAUCGGCUAACUCCGUGCCAGCAGCCGCGGUAAUACGGGGGAUGCAAGCGUUAUCCGGAAUCAUUGGGCGUAAAGCGCCUGUAGGUUGUUUAAUAAGUCUGUUGUUAAAGACUGGGGCUUAACCCCAGGAAAGCAAUGGAAACUACUAGACUAGAGUAUGGUAGGGGUAAAGGGAAUUUCUAGUGUAGCGGUGAAAUGCGUAGAUAUUAGAAAGAACACCGGUGGCGAAAGCGCUUUACUGGACCAUUACUGACACUCAGAGGCGAAAGCUAGGGUAGCCAAAGGGAUUAGAUACCCCUGUAGUCCUAGCCGUAAACGAUGGAUACUAGAUGUUGCGCUUAUUGUGCAGUGUCGUAGCUAACGCGUUAAGUAUCCCGCCUGGGGAGUACGAUCGCAAGGUUGAAACUCAAAGGAAUUGACGGGGGCCCGCACAAGCGGUGGAGCAUGUGGUUUAAUUCGAUGCAACGCGAAGAACCUUAC